UGGGGAAUAUUGCACAAUGGGCGCAAGCCUGAUGCAGCCAUGCCGCGUGUAUGAAGAAGGCCUUCGGGUUGUAAAGUACUUUCAGCGGGGAGGAAGGGAGUAAAGUUAAUACCUUACUCAUUGACGUUACCCGCAGAAGAAGCACCGGCUAACUCCGUGCCAGCAGCCGCGGUAAUACGGAGGGUGCAAGCGUUAAUCGGAAUUACUGGGCGUAAAGCGCACGCCGGCGGUCUGUCAAGUCGGAUGUGAAAUCCCCGGGCUCAACCUGGGAACUGCAUUCGAAACUGGCAGGCUAGAGUCUUGUAGAGGGGGGUAGAAUUCCAGGUGUAGCGGUGAAAUGCGUAGAGAUCUGGAGGAAUACCGGUGGCGAAGGCGGCCCCCUGGACAAAGACUGACGCUCAGGUGCGAAAGCGUGGGGAGCAAACAGG
rnacentral:rRNA from 1 species